GACGGAGGAUGCAAGCGUUAUCCGGAAUGAUUGGGCGUAAAGCGUCCGCAGGUGGCAGUUCAAGUCUGCUGUCAAAGACCGGGGCUUAACUUCGGAAAGGCAGUGGAAACUGAACAGCUAGAGUAUGGUAGGGGCAGAGGGAAUUCCUGGUGUAGCGGUGAAAUGCGUAGAGAUCAGGAAGAACAUCGGUGGCGAAAGCAGCUUUCUGGGACGGUACUGACGCUGAGACGCGAAAGCGUGGGGAGCGAACAGG
rnacentral:rRNA from 1 species